CCACGGUCCCUCCCCGUCCCUGGGCUCCUCUGCAGUCCCCCUCGGCCUUCUCAACGCAGCUUUCCCAGCAGCUUAGGAUAUCGGUUUUUGUUGGACUUGAAAUUGGGAGUUGAGGGCGGCCUGGAGGCGCUCGGGAAGGAGAUUUGGGGUGCGGCUGCUUAUAAAGAUGUUGCCUUUUACCCCAGCAGUCCCCCGCCCCCUACGCGGGGUGGUGGCAGGAAACCGGUUCCUGAGUUUUCCUUCUUUCUCUUCCUCGACACGACCUCCCCACCAGUGUGUUUCUGUUUAUCCUCCUCGCCCGGGGGCUGGGUCCCUGGCGAAGCCUCGUUUUCACCCACCCACCCCCAAGCCAGAGCUCACCAGUGAUGUAAUGCGGGACCCGCGCGGGGAGGGGAAACGGCAGCCUCAACCGCCUGGCAGCGGCGGUUUCUUCUCUUCGUGAAAAUCGUGAUCUCAUCUCUCCGUCCAUGGGCGAAAAAACAGCCAUCACCAGGCCAUUCACGCUUUGUGCUUUUGUUAGCAGAGCCCAGGCAGCCCUGCAGCCCACAUCUAGGGUACAAACGGAACGGCGGCGUUUUCCUUGUAUCAUUUAGAGGAAAUUUUUGAGCUGAACAGUAUUUUUUUUCUCCCUCUCUCUCUCUCUGAAAUAUUGCUGAGAUUUAAAGGAGGACGAAGACAACAGAUUCAUAGCUGGGUCUUGCUGUUUUCCUGACGCUGACCACAGCGGAUCUAGGUGGCUAUUUCGUUGGUGCACAGGCGUUCACAGAGGCAGAGAGGGGAGAAAGUUGUCAAACAGAUUCACAGACUGUCAAAGUGCGGCUUAAACCGAGUUCCUGGGCUCCCUCACUGGCUUCGUCCACUUAAACUUUUAACGUACACAUGUAGAGAGCUGAAACUCCAGGGGUAACAUGGGACAGGUCCUCUUGAUUUAAUGAAAACAGAAGAUCAACUGGACCGGGUAGCAAGAAAUAAGGCUUAAGAAGCACUGGUUUCUCUGCAGAAGACAGCAAGAUGCCCCAGGGAAUGUUUGUGAAAAAGGAUGACUGGAUGGGAAGCAAGCUGAAGAAAAAGAAGGAAAGAAAGAGAGAAAUCAGUAAAUCACCACACAAGAGGUGGAGAAGAGGACUUAUAAAUAUUGUUUCUAUGACAUUUGAAAAUAAAUGUUUUACUCCAUGCUAAUAGUGAAUGUGAUGUCUUCAGUUUGAAGGGCUUUAAGUGAAGCUCAUUAAAAC
rnacentral:lncRNA from 10 species